GCCAAUAUAGCUCAGUUGGCAGAGCAGCGGUUUCGUAAACCGCAGGCCAAGGGUUCAAAUCCCUUUAUUGGCUCCA
rnacentral:tRNA from 1 species